UCUCCUGGAAACGGGUGGUAAUGCCGGAUGCUCCGGUUGGAUGCAUGUCCUUCCGGGAAAGGUUCCAUCGGUAUGGGAUGGGGUCGCGUCCUAUCAGCUUGAUGGCGGGGUAACGGCCCACCAUGGCUUCGACGGGUAGCCGGCCUGAGAGGGCGACCGGCCACAUUGGGACUGAGAUACGGCCCAGACUCCUACGGGAGGCAGCAGUGGGGAAUAUUGCACAAUGGGCGCAAGCCUGAUGCAGCGACGCCGCGUGCGGGAUGGAGGCCUUCGGGUUGUAAACCGCUUUUGAUCGGGAGCAAGCCCUUCGGGGUGAGUGUACCUUUCGAAUAAGCACCGGCUAACUACGUGCCAGCAGCCGCGGUAAUACGUAGGGUGCAAGCGUUAUCCGGAAUUAUUGGGCGUAAAGGGCUCGUAGGCGGUUCGUCGCGUCCGGUGUGAAAGCCCAUCGCUUAACGGUGGGUCUGCGCCGGGUACGGGCGGGCUGGAGUGCGGUAGGGGAGACUGGAAUUCCCGGUGUAACGGUGGAAUGUGUAGAUAUCGGGAAAGAACACCA
rnacentral:rRNA from 1 species